rnacentral:tRNA from 1 species
GGAGAGAUGGCUCAGCGGUUGAGAGCACUGGCUGUUCUUCAGAGAACCUGAGUUCAAUUCCCAGUCCCCACA